UACGGAGGGGACGAGCGUUGUUCGGAAUUACUGGGCGUAAAGCGCACGUAGGCGGAUUUGUAAGUCAGGGGUGAAAUCCCGGGGCUCAACCUCGGAACUGCCUUUGAUACUGCAAAUCUCGAGUCCGGAAGAGGUGAGUGGAAUUCCUAGUGUAGAGGUGAAAUUCGUAGAUAUUAGGAAGAACACCAGUGGCGAAGGCGGCUCACUGGUCCGGUACUGACGCUGAGGUGCGAAAGCGUGGGGAGCAAACAGG
rnacentral:rRNA from 1 species